UAGUUGGAAAUGUCCCAAGUGUUUACCCGUGAAAGGCCCCGUAGUACGAACUGUCACCACUGGAGGGGGUGUAUAGACGGUGACGGCUGUGUUCGGUGCUGUGUUUACAUCUGCGUGCUGUUGACGUGGAAGAGACACAGCAGAAAGAUGGCGGCGCCCUCUGCAGAGCAGCAAAACGGCCAAAGUGAUGAAUCUGAUCUACAAAGCCCUAUAUCGACAAAUGAUGACUCCGAAACAGGAUUGGGUGAUGGAGCUCUCCCCGCCUACCUUGUCGACUUGAUAGAGAAAGAAAUCGGAGUGGAUCUGAAGUCGCUGAAGAAAGCGCUCCUGGAUAAACUGACCGUGGGAAAAAUAGUUGCUGGAAGAGCAGGUCUCCCAGGUAGCAUGGUGGAUCUGGGCAGAUUCCUGCUGAGCGUUACACUCGGCCGACGUUAUGUGGUCCGAGUCUGGGCCGCCUUAGGCAGUAUAACUUGUCUAGGAUGCGGGGAUUGAACUCGGGCCGAUUCCGAUGAGAGUUAUCUGUCCCAAAUGUACUACUUGGGUCUCGUGUCGAUUGGGGCUACUCUGGCAGAUGAUUACACGGCUGCUUUAUAUAAUUAGCAUUUCAUUAUUUAUUUUUCCAUAUUUUUAAUUGUUUAUGUGAGAAAAAAUACAAUUAACAUUUAAAUAAAACAUUUAAAGUCCUGCUUAAGUAGUAUUUUAGUAUUUUGAUACUUUGUGCAAGGCAAUUGACAAGCAUUAAAAAGUUGCUGGAUGGGUCCUCCCGAGUGACUCAGUGGUCUAAGACACUGCAUCGAUGUGCAAACUGCGUUGCUACAGAUGCUAGUUCGAUAACCGUGCCGGCCGCGACCGGGAGACCCGCACAAUUGGCCCAGCGUCGUCCGAGUUAAGGGAGGGUUUGGCCGGACGCGAUGUCCUUGUCCCGUCCCCAUGUAGCGACUCCUGUGGUGGGCCAGGCGCAUGCACGCUGACACGGUCAUCAGGUGUACAGUGUUUUCUCCUACAUAAUUUUUUUGGGGGUGGAUGGGUAUAAUUUGUAUGCAUAAAAUGUAAAAUAGUAAUGUUUAAAAUGACUAAAUUCGGUAAUUUUAUAUACAUUUAUUUAAAUUAGCAUCAGGCCCCUUCUGGGGGAUUCUGGUAAGAUGCCACAAAAAGUCGACUGAACUCACGUAGAUGGAAACGGGACGAUUCUGGGCAGUCAUUCAUUUUGAUUCCAGGCCGAGUCCGACAUCCGAUUCCGGGUCGAUUCUAUCAGUUCCGGCCCCCGGAAGAGGGCCGUUUCUGGGCUGAUUCCUCAUUGCUAGCAAUGGCUUUUAUGUUGUUGAGAAAGAUGAACUCUUUUAAUGUCAGCAAGACCGUGAUGACACUGUUUAGGUUGGACAGUGUGGUUAAGGUGGCCAGCCAGGUCAUCAGGGUUCAACAGGCACAGCUCUCAGUGACAUCCAGAAAGCAUGUGGUGAGGAGAGCUAACAGUAUCCUAGACUGUCCUCUGAUUACCCCCUCCUUGACAAUUUUGCACUUCUCCCCUUAGGUCGUCGUUUUAGACUUCCCAAACUCAAUAGCAGCAGAUACAAUAACUAUUUUAUCCCACAGCCCAUGAACUUUCUGAAUCUGCACAUUAAAUUAAAUGUUGAUUUAUUGCUGCACUUCUGCUCAAUGAUUGCUCCUUUUUAUCAAUGUCAUUGUUUCAUGUUGUGUGUAUUGGUUGUAUGGUUGUCACUGUUUUUAAUGUUGCCGUUUUGUAUUGUUGAACCCUGACUGCACAACAUAUCUCCCAAUGGGGACAAUAAAGAUAAGUUGAACUUGA